rnacentral:rRNA from 1 species
GAUGAACGCUGACAGAAUGCUUAACACAUGCAAGUCGACUUGAACUUCGGUUUGGGUGGCGGCCGGGUGAGUAACGCGUAACGAACUUGCCUCACAGCUAGGGACAACAUUUGGAAACGAAUGCUAAUACCUGAUAUUAUGAUUAUAUGGCAUCGUAUAAUUAUGAAAGCUAUAUGCGCUGUGAGAGAGCUUUGCGUCCCAUUAGCUAGGUGGAGAGGUAACAGAUCACCAAGGCGAUGAUGGGUAGCCGGCCUGAGAGGGUGAUCGGCCACAAGGGGACUGAGACACGGCCCUUACUCAUACGGGAGGCAGCAGUGGGGAAUAUUGGACAAUGGACCGAGAGUCUGAUCAAGCAAUUCUGUGUGCACAAUGAAGUUUUUCGGAAUGUAAAGUGCUUUCAGUUGGGAAGAAAAAAAUGACGGUACCAACAGAAGAAGUGACGGCUAAAUACGUG